rnacentral:lncRNA from 12 species
CUUUAUAGCUAGCCUUCAUGGAGAGUGUCUUUGCUCCCAGUGGACGCAUCAAUUCUUAAAUUUGCUCUGUACAGGACCUCACACACAUAUAUGCAGAUUUCCAUUAUUAUGACCAGCAUGGAAGACUAAUAAUUUAUGGGAGGAGCUCCAGGAGGCUGGAAGAGGCCUCAGGUGAAUCAAGUGAAUGCCGAGUGACUGAAGGGGAAGCUGGCUCCAAGGAUGCUAUAGUUUCUUAGAAGACUCAUGAGGAAGAAAAAUCUUCUGGCUGCUGGAGAGCAAUGAGGACAUAAUUGCCUUAAAAACACUGUAGAUGCAGCAUAAAUUGAUGGGAAAAAAAAAAUGCAAAGAAUAAAUUCGCCUACUCUUCCC